rnacentral:rRNA from 1 species
AUUGAACGCUGGCGGCAUGCCUUACACAUGCAAGUCGAACGGUAACAGGUCUUCGGAUGCUGACGAGUGGCGAACGGGUGAGUAAUACAUCGGAACGUGCCCGAUCGUGGGGGAUAACGAAGCGAAAGCUUUGCUAAUACCGCAUAAGAUCUACGGAUGAAAGCAGGGGACCGCAAGGCCUUGCGCGAACGGAGCGGCCGAUGGCAGAUUAGGUAGUUGGUGGGAUAAAAGCUUACCAAGCCGACGAUCUGUAGCUGGUCUGAGAGGACGACCAGCCACACUGGGACUGAGACACGGCCCAGACUCCUACGGGAGGCAGCAGUGGGGAAUUUUGGACAAUGGGCGAAAGCCUGAUCCAGCCAUGCCGCGUGCAGGAUGAAGGCCUUCGGGUUGUAAAACUGCUUUUGUACGGAAACGAAAAGACUCUGGUUAAUAA